CUUGGAGUCUUUUCAGCAAGCCCAGGAUAAGGGAGUCAUGUUUCCAGCUUUUCUCUGCAGUCACAAGUUUGGCUCUGAUGUGAUUUUCAUUCGAGACCAAGCGCCUCGUGUAAUCCCCUGACUCUUGCAGCUGGGGCUGUAAGAAAAAUAACAGCUCUCUGAGGACUGAAUCAUCAGAGCUGCCAACCCUGGCCAACCUUUUCAGGCUGGUGAAGAAGGGAUAAGGAUGCACUUAAGAGCGCUACUGAAUUGGAGUUGGGAGCUGAAUGAAGGGGGAUGAUUCCAUGGCCAGUUGGAAGAGAAUGAAAACUCGUGUAGCCUUGGUAAAAAUGCAGAAGUGGUCUGAAAACAGGAGGGUGAAGUUCACUAAGGAAAAACACAACAAUUGCAAUGUCCUGUGUCCAGGUUCAUCCUCAGGGACUGCAUAAGAGGAGACAGUGUUUCUCAAUGGUCAGGAUCCACAGGUUGCAGCCAGGGUAGCCAAAGCCUCUGCAAGCUCCUGUGGACUCAGGACACCAUGAGGUUACUGCCUCAGCAGGUUCAAUCUCCCAUACUCUCCAGGAGCAGAAGAGCUGUAGCACUGCUUCAUCACCAUGCCUGGUCCAAAGGGAGUUCGAGUGGCAUGUCCCUCAUUGUGGCUCUCAAAGACAGCUCAGCCAGGUUGGAGUACAUCAAAA